rnacentral:rRNA from 1 species
UACGUAGGGUGCGAGCGUUAAUCGGAAUUACUGGGCGUAAAGGGCGCGUAGGCGGCCACCGCAAGUCGAUUGUGAAAUCUCCGGGCUUAACCCGGAAAGGUCAACCGAUACUGCGGGGCUAGAGUGCAGAAGGGGCAACUGGAAUUCUCGGUGUAGCGGUGAAAUGCGUAGAUAUCGAGAGGAACACCUGCGGCGAAGGCGGGUUGCUGGGCUGACACUGACGCUGAGGCGCGAAAGCUAGGGGAGCGAACGGG